rnacentral:tRNA from 1 species
GGUUUGAUGGUCUAGUGGUAUGAUUCUCGCUUAGGGAAUACCCUAUGCUUAUAUGCGAGAGGUCCCGAGUUCAAUCCUCGGUCAAACCC